UACGAAGGGGGCUAGCGUUGUUCGGAAUUACUGGGCGUAAAGGGCGCGUAGGCUGUGCUGUAAGUCAGGCGUGAAAGGCCCGGGCUCAACCUGGGAACUGCGUUUGAUACUGCGGCGCUGGAAUGCAGGAGAGGAUGGCGGAAUUCCCAGUGUAGAGGUGAAAUUCGUAGAUAUUGGGAAGAACACCGGUGGCGAAGGCGGCCACUCUGGCCUGCAAUUGACGCUGAGGCGCGAAAGCGUGGGGAGCAAACAG
rnacentral:rRNA from 1 species